GAUGAAGAACGUAGCGAAAUGCGAUAAGUAAUGUGAAUUGCAGAAUUCAGUGAAUCAUCGAAUCUUUGAACGCACCUUGCACCCUUUGGCAUUCCGAAGGGUAUGCUCGUUUGAGUGUCAUUGUACUCUCACUCUCCCGAUGCUUUUGGAUCGGGAGUGGUGGACUUGGGUGUUGCUGCUUUGUUGUGGCUCGCCUCAAAUGGAGUAGUGCAACUCUUGGUUGGACAUAGUACGGCGUGAUAAGUGUCUUCGCCGGCGCCUCAUUAUAGAGGGUGGCCGAUCGGGAGCUCUGUGCUUCAAACCGUCUUCGGACAACAUCUGACAACUUGACCUCAAAUCGAGUAGGACUACCCGCUGAACUUAAGCAUAUCAAUAAGCGGAGGA
rnacentral:misc_RNA from 1 species